rnacentral:lncRNA from 1 species
GCUCGCUGUGUGCUGGAUAGUGAGGUUCAGGGACUGGUAUGCUGCUGUCCAUCAGUGAAUAUGAUGCUGAGAUGAUAGAGGCUUCCAGGAAAUUGGAAACGAUGGGUGCAGUGAGUCCCAGGAAGAUGAGGCUGGAGAGAGCCCCAGUCCAUCCCGGAGCACACAUCCAUGUGUGGCAGGAGGUGUUUUUAAGACAUGAAUGGCCCAUGGGAAUGGUUUACACACAACAAAAGUGGAGCACCUAAAGAAACACAAAACGAGAAACGGCAAAUAAAUGUUGCAAUAGUCUAAGAUGUUUCAUUUUAAUUUUAUUACAUAUGUCCAUUAAAACUAGCAUUGCACUAACCACGACACCUGGAGAACCAUCAUCAUAUAGUGGGGACAUUGAGUAAUGGACCUAGUUCAAUGGUGUAAUUUCACCCAGGAUUUAAGAUAAGACCACUUUAUUGGCCAUAUCCAAUUUCUUGCAUUGGGAAUUCGUCUUUUCGCUUACCCCAGCUUGCUCUCCAUGAGACACACAGACAGGGGGAGAAGCUGGGGGUCAGAGCGCAGGGCCAGUCAUUCAUUCAGCGCCCCUGGAGCAGUUGGGGUGAAGGGCCUUGCUCAUGGGCCCAGUGGAGUAGGAUUCCUCUGCCGGCCGCAGGAUACAAACCAGCAACCUUCCAGCCAGAGGCGCAGAUCCUGAGCCACAGAGCCACCAAACCACCCACAACGUCCAUUUGAACCAAUGGCCUUGUGCUCUAGACUCUGGAGCUCAAACCACUACUCCACACUGCUCAAUGCAGUCGCUCAACAGGAAAGACAUACAUAAUAUCACCACAUAGAACUGUAUAUCGGCAGUCAUUCAAUCCAGCUUUGCAAGAUGCCAAAAAUAAUUUAAUUUAAAAAACAAAUGUAAUCAUAUGUGUUCCUGGAAUGCAUAAAUCACAAAGCCUGUAUUCUGUGUACUGUAGCCACUGUGCAGUGUAUUUGUACAAAUGAUGCUCACAUUCAGAGAUGUUUUAUUUCCUGC